rnacentral:lncRNA from 1 species
AACAGAGAGGGGGUGGGCUUCUGUACAUGAGAAACAGAGGAUGAGUCCUUCCUCUUUGGGUGUGAGGUCUAGGGUGGGUUCUAGGGUUUUGGCUCUAGAUUUUUAUGGGAAAAGAAAUACAAGAGCAUCUUGUUUCAAUCUCCCACACCACCACCUCCUCAUGUAGCUCCAUCCUCUAAUCUAGAAGAGUCUAGGUGAUCCAAAGAAAGGAGCUUAUUCCAGCCAUCCAGUGCCUUCUGCACGAGCUAGCACUCUUGGGAAGGAUGAUCCGAUCAGGGC